AGGAUACAUUCAGUAUACGUCCA
rnacentral:miRNA from 1 species